rnacentral:rRNA from 1 species
UACGUAGGGUGCGAGCGUUGUCCGGAAUUAUUGGGCGUAAAGGGCUCGUAGGCGGUUUGUCGCGUCGGGAGUGAAAUCCACUGGCUUAACUGGUGGCUUGCUUUCGAUACGGGCAGACUGGAGGUAUGCAGGGGAGAACGGAAUUCCUGGUGUAGCGGUGAAAUGCGCAGAUAUCAGGAGGAACACCAACGGCGAAGGCAGCUCGCUGGGACGGAACUGACGCUGAGGCGCGAAAGCUAGGGGAGCGAACAGG